rfam:Echinicola vietnamensis DSM 17526, complete genome.
UAGGGUGGUACGGCACGGGGGAUCCACCUCUUCCCAUCCCGAACAGAGAAGUUAAGCCCUGUCGCGCCGAUGGUACUGGGGUUACACCCGGGAGAGUAGGUCGCCGCCCGCU